UCGUGGAGCUUCGGCUCCUUCGAGGGAGAACCCUUGCCUUUUCGAGCACCUGUUUGUUUCCCUCGGCAGGCCCGCCUGCCAAUGGGGACCUAUUAAACUCUUGCAAUAACCUGUACAAAAUCGUCUGAACAGAAAAAUCUAAAUCAA
rnacentral:misc_RNA from 1 species